rnacentral:rRNA from 1 species
AGAGCGAACGCUGGCGGCAGGCCUAAAACAUGCAAGUCGAACGGACCCUUCGGGGUUAGUGGCGGACGGGUGAGUAACACGUGGGAACGUGCCUUUUGGUUCAGAACAACUCAGGGAAACUUGAGCUAAUACUGAAUAAGCCCUACGGGGGAAAGAUUUAUCGCCAUUAGAGCGGCCCGCGUUGGAUUAGCUAGUUGGUGAGGUAAAGGCUCACCAAGGCUACGAUCCAUAGCUGGUCUGAGAGGAUGAUCAGCCACACUGGGACUGAGACACGGCCCAGACUCCUACGGGAGGCAGCAGUUAGGAAUCUUGCGCAAUGGGCGAAAGCCUGACGCAGCCAUGCCGCGUGAAUGAUGAAGGUCUUAGGAUUGUAAAAUUCUUUCAGUGGGAAGAUAAUGACUGUACCCACAGAAGAGCUCCGGCUAACUUCGUGCCAGCAGCCGC